AAUUCCAUUUAUACGGUUUUUUCAUCAUGAACAUUUCAAUGUGCUUCUAAGAAAAGAGCACGCAAGUUCCCCACGGACAUCCUUGAGCUAAUGCUGGAUUUUGUCCAUGACAGAAGAGGGACUUCCAUCCUGCUCCAUCCUUAUCUUCAAGACGUACACUCAUCCAGCUUCACUGCUUCAGUUCUUCUUUGCUGCUUCACUGGCGAGUUAGUUCACUUCAGUUGCUUUGACACCUGCAGUCACUGACAACGGGAUUAUGGCCAGGUAAUGCAGCGGAAACGUCGAGAAGAGGGACACCAAAACGUCGCCGGUAUCUC